AAAGGCUCCUGCCCAGAGUUCCUUCCUCUCCCUCUGCCUCUGCCUCGUGAGGGACCCCAGCGAUUCCCUGGGUGGCCUCCCCUAGUGUGACAUGUACUCCCUCUCUUGGGAAUUCUGCACACAGAGUCCAGCUUCAGGAGGAUUUUUAAAUUGCAAUAAUAGUGAAGACAAGAAUCAGCACAAUUUACAGUUUAAAGUUGAUGAGGCUAAAACGUCUCCAAAUAUGACUCUGGAUGAAACAAGAAGUAGAGGAACAUCCCACGUAUAACUCAGACUCAUUAAUAAAUAAGAAGAAUGGUUAAAAAUAUGUACGGAACACCUUUCUUUAUUCCAGGGACUUUCCAAGCUCUAUGCUUGGGUUAACUCAUUCGUUUUCACUGUGGCCUCUGCAAUAGGUGCUGUUGUCCCAGUUUUAAAAAUGAGGAAACUGAGGCUUCCAGUGUUAAGUAACUUGGCAAGCAAGAGGUAAAUGUGGCUUCUCUAGCACGUUCUUCCCAAAGGGCAACACCUGCCUCUUUGGUGUGAAAUCUAGAAAGAGUGUGUGUCUUGGAGAGAGACUGACCUGGGUGCAGACUCCAGCACUGCCAUUUUCCAGCUGUGUGACCUCAGCAAAGUUAUUUAACUUCUCUGAGUCUCAGUUUGUAAAACUGUGAAAGGAAGAUGAAAUAAUUACUUUGAAGUGUUGUUUGUGAGGACGCACAUGGAACAGAAACUCUUAGCUGUUAUAAUUUUGAAAUAUGUCCAGGGAACCUAGUUGGGUCAACGUAUGACAUGUUGAAGACUCGAUUAGGCCUACCUUUAAACUUUAGGUGACCGUGUCAACUCAUUCGUUCUCUUGUCAUUCUUGAGAGAAAUUGCUAAUGUAAGAUAUCUCGAAGUCCGUGAAAUAUCAAUAACAUUAACAUAGUGCUAAUGUGAAUAAAUCAGCAUGAACUAAUCAGCAUUCCUGGGAAAACAGAGCCAGGUGUCACCUUGUGGAGGUGAAACAGCAACUUACCGUGCACGUCUGAACCUGGCUGCAUGGCCAGCUCCCAAGUGGCUGGUGGGAAUGACAUGCAGAAGUCACUGCCUUGGAGAGGAAGUUCCAGAUGGUUCCUGAAGCCUCUGAGGGGGGUCCUGGGGUGGGGGUAGAGGACAGAGAGGAAGCCAGGCUAGACUUGCGCCCACCUGCCACUCCUCAUCACCUUCCAUCAGAGCAAAACUGCUUUGAUCUCUCUUAAAUAUUGAGAAUUUCAUGUAAGAUUUUGAAAAAAUAAUUCUGUUGUUUAAAAGAAAGUUUGAAAAUCACAUGUCAGAAAGUAUGCUAGUCUGUAUGGCUUUAGAAUAUGAAUACUUUAAACCAUUUUGGAAAAUGAGUACUGGUAACCAGUGGUGAAAAAAGGUGGUCAUUGUUUUCAGCCUACCACUGGGGCCUGGGGAAAGGAGGAGGAGGUCGGAAAUGGUGGAGGGCCCUCCCUCAGGGGCUGAAUGUCAGACCAUUGCUGCCCUUCGCUGAGUGCUUCUCUGAACAAGGGCACUUUUAUGAGGCAAAUGAAAUAUAGAACACAUUUGAAAACAACGGAAAGUUCCAAAUAAGAGGCUAAGUAACUCAAAGAUCUUCCGUGCAGAGAAGCACGGGAAGCCACAAGGCCCUGCUCGCAGAGGACCGAGGCUCUGUGGAGGCCGCCUCACCGAGAAUAGUCGCAGCUGAAUGUGGAAGAAGACGUUUUAACAUGAUCUCCAUUGAAAAAAGAUACACUCAUUCCGUGUAAUGAAAGUCAGACUCAAAAGUGGUGGGGAUAAGUCAUACUUGAUUCCAUUUUUACUUAUCUAAAAUGAAAUAAUAGUUAUGAAUGUGUUUGGAAAAUGCAAAAGCUAUGGGGAUGUGAGGUGUUGGUCACUAAUAACUCCAUAAUCUCCAAAUCGUAUUGUUUAAGUUUUGCACAUGACUAGGUUAGACAAUGGGUGGUGUGGCCUUACAUUUCAAAGGAUGAACUCAACGUCAAGAAUUCCAAGUAUUGUCACACUUACGUAUUAGUUCUUUCUAGUGUAGCCUUUGGCAAUCUCUUUAACCUCACACGAUCACAUUAUCCGUGAUUGUGCUCAUGUCAUCUGCAGUUCACAAGGACUGUUUUGAAUGUAUUAAAGACUGUAGGAAGUGUGGUGUUGCAUGAAUGUUAAAGGAAGAUGAAAUAAUUACCUCACCACAAUGCUGGUAAAUGGUCUCAUCUUGGGACAAAUAUUUGGCCCAUUUUGGACCCAGAGGUAUAGGAGUACCAGCUUCAGGGCAAGCCCAGUGUUUGACGGGGAGUCUCUGCUUCCUGGUGCAGGCUGGAGUGCCCCCCAGUGAAGGUCAAUGAGAAGGUGGGUCACCCUUUCUUCUUCACAGUAGCCUCCAGCCACUAGGGAGGCUGAGAAAACUAGGACCAGACAGACACACUUACUCUGUACUAGGCCAGAUAGGCAAGAGAGGUUUUUAUGAGAAGGAAUCUAUUUUUAAGUUUGAGUUGUAGACAAAUGUAUAGCUAGUUUUCACAGUCAUUGCAAAAUAAUACGUCAAAAGAACCAGUACUCAAUUGGUAAGGGGAAAAAAGGGAAAAUGUGGAAUGUAGACUUUUUCAGGCUUUUAAAAUCAAUAUUGCCAUUCUUCUCUUCCAGUAAAAAUGAACCCACUAGUAAGUAUUAGAAUACAGCUUGUAGCAGACAGACUCUCAGGUGGGACCAUGCACUCUGUGGGCUGGUGCUCAUGCCCUUGUGUGACCCCCCAGCCUUGAGGGUGGACGGGACUCAUGACCUGCUUCCAACCAGUAGGACAGGGCAGAAGCGACAGGCUAGACGUGAUUACAGGUCUGUAAUGCCGCAGUUCUGUUACAUGAGAAUAGUGUCUGCCGUCCUGUGGUCUCUCCUUCUCCCCUUUGCUGUUUUCGAGGAGGCGAGCAGCCGCACUGGGGAACCCGUGUAGUGAGGAACCGUGGGCAGCCUCUACAAACUGGGGGCUGGCAAGAAAGCAAGCUCUCAGCCCUCCUGCUGCAGGGAGCACCAUUCUCCAGCGCCCUGAGCGAGUCCCAGAGUGGGCCUUCCCCAGCUGAGCGUCAGAUGAGGUCUCAGCCUCGACGCAUUGAUUGUAGCCUUGUAAGACCCUGAGCGGGGGACCCAGCUGAGCCUGGCCACGGCUCCUACCCCACAGAAACCGUGAGAUAAUAACUGUGCGUUAUUUUAGGCCACUGAGUUUGGGUCAUAUUGUUAAGUAAUGAUGGAUGCGAAUACUGAAUUUGGAUUUUUCUCCACAUCCAAAAGCUCACCUCAAGGAGAAGAGAGAGAGUCCAGGCCAUUGGCAUUAAACGACAUGCUAGUCGUUUUGGAAAAUAAACAGUGUAUUCAGGAUUGUUUCUAUAUUGAUUUACCUCUAGCCAGACUCUCUUUUAUGCAUUUUCAAAAAACAAACACACACUAUACCCAGGGAAUAUUUUGAAGGGAGGAGUUGAGCUUCUGAUAUAUUCAGAAGGUGAGAAUUCUUCCCACCUGCACCCCAAUUUUAACUUAGUCCAAUGGCAUUUUAAAUUUUGAGCUUUGGAGGAAAAUAAUUCCUUCCUUCCUUUUAUUUUUUUGUUGAAAGGAUUUAAUACAUUGGGGGUUUUUUUUUUCUUUUCAGUGACUUCAUUUUCAUCUAACAUGUGUAGGGCAGAGAUCUCUCUAGACAAUGUUUUAAAUCUCUAACUCCAGUAGCAUUUGAGGUUGUAACAGAAUGGAGGACUUUAGUUUUAAUUACUCUAAAAUAACAUUUUGCUAACUUUUCAUUUAUCUGCCUAAUUCUUUACAAGUACCUUGGGAUCAUAAAAACUGAAUAUUAGUCAAAGGUUGAGCUCCUUAAUUCUUUUUGUUUUUAAAGAUUUUAUUUUUCCUUUUUUUCCCCAAAGCCCCCCUGGUACAUAGUUGUG